rnacentral:lncRNA from 1 species
AAAACGGGUGGGCUAUAGCCUUGCGGGGUGGGGCUGGCCAACUUCGUCCGCCGGACUUGGAAUGCCGCGAGACAUUACGAGGGGCCUCCGUGUGCCAAAAAUAGGCCGCGGGCAAAGCCGCGCCCAAAAAUAACCGCCCGAAGGCCGGGGCGCCAAGUUCGUCCAGCGGAAAAAGGCCCCAAAAACGGGUGGGGUAUAGCCUUGGGGGUUGGGCUGGCCAACUUCGUCCGCCGGACUCGGAAUGCCGCAAGACUUUGCGAGGGGCCUCCAUGUGGCAAAAAUAGGCCGCGGGCAAAGCCGCGCCCAAAAAUAACUGCCCGAAGGCCCGGGCGCCAAGAUCGUCCAGCGGAAAAAGGCCACAAAAACGGGUGGGCUAUAGCCUUGGGGGGUGGGCCUGGCCAAGUUCGUCCGCCGGACUCGGAAUGCCACGAGACUUUGCGAGGGGCCUCCGUGUGACAAAAAUAGGCCGCGGGCAAAGCCGCGCCCAAAAAUAACCGCCCGAAGGCCGGGGCACCAAGUUCGUCCAACGGAAAAAGGCCACAAAAACGGGUGGGCUAUAGCCUUGGGGGGUGGGGCUGGCCCACUUCGUCCGCCGGACUCGGAAUGCCGCGAGACUUUGCGAGGGGCCUCUGUUGCCAAAAAUAGGCCGCGGGCAAUGCCGCAGCCGAAGGCCGGGGCGCCAAGUUCGUCCAGCGGAAAAAGGCAACAAAAACGGGUGGACUAUAGCCAUGGGGCGUGGGGCUGGCCAACUUCAUCCGCCGGACUAGGAAUGCCGCGAGACUUUACGAGGGGCCUCCGUGUGCCAAAAAUAGGCCGCGGUCAAAGCCGCGCCCAAAAAUAACCGCCGGAAGGCCGGGGCGCCAAGUUCGUCCAGAGGAAAAAGGCCACAAAAACGGGUGGGCUAUAGCCUAGGGGGGUGGGGCUGGCCAACUUCGUCCGCCGGACUUGGAAUGCCGCGAGACAUUACGAGGGGCCUCCGUGUGCCAAAAAUAGGCCGCGGGCAAAGCCGCGCCCAAAAAUAACCGCCCGAAGGCCGGGGCGCCAAGUUCGUCCAGCGGAAAAAGGCCCCAAAAACGGGUGGGGUAUAGCCUUGGGGGUUGGGCUGGCCAACUUCGUCCGCCGGACUCGGAAUGCCGCGAGACUUUGCGAGGGGCCUCCGUGUGCCAAAAAUAGGCCGCGGGCAAAGCCGCGCCCAAAAAUAACAGCCCGAAGGCCCGGGCGCCAAGUUCGUCCAGCGGAAAAAGGCCACAAAAACGGGUGGGCUAUAGCCUUGGGGGGUGGGCCUGGCCAAGUUCGUCCGCCGGACUCGGAAUACCGCGAGACUUUGCGAGGGGCCUCCGUGUGACAAAAAUAGGCCGCGGGCAAAGCCGCGCCCAAAAAUAAC